UACAGAGGUCUCAAGCGUUGUUCGGAUUCAUUGGGCGUAAAGAGCGUGUAGGCGGCCAGGUAGGUCUGCUGUGAAAACUCGAGGCUCAACCUCGAGACGUCGGCGGAAACCAUCUGGCUAGAGUCCGGAAGAGGAGAGUGGAAUUCCUGGUGUAGCGGUGAAAUGCGCAGAUAUCAGGAAGAACACCCGUGGCGAAGGCGGUUCUCUGGGACGGUACUGACGCUGAGACGCGAAAGCGUGGGGAGCGAACAGG
rnacentral:rRNA from 1 species